ACAGUCUAUGCUCGCUAUCCCAAGGUUCAUUGCGAUCCCAAGGUUCACUGCGGUUUUCCACAAGCCUGUUUCUGCCUAUCACCAUGAGUGAUUCCUCAAUACUCAGAUUUAUCAUCAAGAUCUCAAUUAUAAGCUCAAGUUUUGAUGACAACUUGGUGAUCUGCAGAAAGCCCCACCAUGUAAGGAAGGCCAAGACCACUCUGGAAUCAGUCAAGGGUGAAAUGGAGUGAGGCAUACCAGGAUAUGCCUGGUUUUACUUUUGGGAAGGAGGUUGAACAGUGCAAUAUUUCUUCUAUAGGAUUGCAGUGACCAGACAUGCUACUGUAACUCUCAUGGUCAUGUGCUGGAAUUAGCAGAUAUUCAACAAUUUGGCCAUCUCGCUGACCUGUUGAUAUCAGAAGACCGCAACAGCUCUACAAAGCAAGUUGCAAAACAGAAUCCAUGAAACUGGCAGUGACUGGAAACCAAUUGGAAGACUUUGGUCUGUGAUGUAGAGGAGUGGGCAGAGGCAGAAGCAAAGACAACAAAAAACAGAAGUGAUAUGGAUGUCUUUGUCAUAUUGCAUGACUCUGCUGACCCAGCAACAAAGAGGAGGGUGUUCAACAUCAUCCUGCUGGUCAGGAUUCUUCAGGAGAAGCAGUGGAUUCUUGUGGCAGAGAUGUUCAACCACUAUAAAUACCUUUCAACUCAUCCUGGUUCUUUCAAAGAACUUUCUUGCUUGUUUGCUACUGAAAUGUACUG
rnacentral:lncRNA from 1 species